GCGCGAGUGACGGAAUUGGCAUACGUAUACGAUUCAGGUUCGUAGUUUUGCGGGUUCAACUCCCGCCUCGCGCACCA
rnacentral:tRNA from 2 species